AGUCGAGCGGUAGCACAGAGAGCUUGCUCUCGGGUGACGAGCGGCGGACGGGUGAGUAAUGUCUGGGAAACUGCCUGAUGGAGGGGGAUAACUACUGGAAACGGUAGCUAAUACCGCAUAAUGUCGCAAGACCAAAGAGGGGGACCUUCGGGCCUCUUGCCAUCAGAUGUGCCCAGAUGGGAUUAGCUAGUAGGUGGGGUAACGGCUCACCUAGGCGACGAUCCCUAGCUGGUCUGAGAGGAUGACCAGCCACACUGGAACUGAGACACGGUCCAGACUCCUACGGGAGGCAGCAGUGGGGAAUAUUGCACAAUGGGCGCAAGCCUGAUGCAGCCAUGCCGCGUGUAUGAAGAAGGCCUUCGGGUUGUAAAGUACUUUCAGCGGGGAGGAAGGUGCUGAGGUUAAUAACCUCAGCAAUUGACGUUACCCGCAGAAGAAGCACCGGCUAACUCCGUGCCAGCAGCCGCGGUAAUACGGAGGGUGCAAGCGUUAAUCGGAAUUACUGGGCGUAAAGCGCACGCAGGCGGUCUGUCAAGUCGGAUGUGAAAUCCCCGGGCUCAACCUGGGAACUGCAUUCGAAACUGGCAGGCUAGAGUCUUGUAGAGGGGGGUAGAAUUCCAGGUGUAGCGGUGAAAUGCGUAGAGAUCUGGAGGAAUACCGGUGGCGAAGGCGGCCCCCUGGACAAAGACUGACGCUCAGGUGCGAAAGCGUGGGGAGCAAACA
rnacentral:rRNA from 1 species